AGGGAAGCUAUGCAAGAGAAAGGUGUUAAAGCUGGCUGAGCCAGCCUCCUGGAAGAAAAUGGGAGAAACUGAGGAGUUUCCUGGGGCUAACCUGGUGCUGUGAUAAAGAUUUUUCCCAUGUAUAACCAUUUUUGGUGAAGAUCAUUUUGAGCAUAGAAUUGAAUUCUGAGGGGCUCUGCUCUUCAACUCCCUUUUUUUGUGGGGAAUAUUGCUGCCCACGUGCUGGUGACUGAGAGAAAUGACAUGAACUGAAUCUGACUAGAGCUGGGGGGGAAAAAGUGUUACAACAGCUUAACAAAACAUAAUGGCACAAGAUUCAGAUACAUCAGAUUGGAAACAAGAGGUCAUGAUUUUUUUUCUGGGAUGCACUCAUCUGCAGGACACCAAUAAAAAUUUGUUUCACUUGGAAAACAAAAUGGGACUGGAUCUUCUGAAGAUACAUACCCAUAUUGUUUUCUAAGAACUCUAGUCAUACUUGCAUCAUUUAAGUGAUUGAAUCAAAGGCAUUUAGGUGAUUCAAUUUAAGUCAUUUAACUCAUUUAGGUGAUUAAAUCAAAGUUCUGCCAGUGCAGUAUUUGUAUUUAAUUUAAAAGUUUUGUGUUGUUUAUAAAAAUUGGAAAAGUUCCACUUCUAUCCUGGCUGAGGAUGGGGAAAGUCUUUUUUGUGGCACUAUAAAAAAAUAAAAAAAAUAAAUUUUUAAGUCCUUUUUAGUCAACCCUUUUGAAUUGAA